rnacentral:rRNA from 1 species
UGCGCUGGCGGCAUGCUUUACACAUGCAAGUCGAGCGGCAGCGCGGGGGCAACCCUGGCGGCGAGCGGCGAACGGGUGAGUAAUGCAUCGGAACGUAUCCUGUAGUGGGGGAUAACCCAGCGAAAGUUGGGCUAAUACCGCAUGAGCUCUGAGGAGGAAAGCGGGGGACCUAAAAGGGCCUCGCGCUGCCGGAGCGGCCGAUGUCCGAUUAGCUAGUUGGUGGGGUAAAGGCUUACCAAGGCGACGAUCGGUAGCUGGUCUGAGAGGAUGAUCAGCCACACUGGGACUGAGACACGGCCCAGACUCCUACGGGAGGCAGCAGUGGGGAAUUUUGGACAAUGGGGGCAACCCUGAUCCAGCCAUGCCGCGUGAGUGAAGAAGGCCUUCGGGUUGUAAAGCUCUUUCGGACGGAACGAAAUGGGCGGGACUAAUACUCCUGUCCGAUGACGGUACCGUAAGAAGAAGCACCGGCUAACUACGUGCCAGCAGCCGCGGUAAU